CUGGAGCCGUGGUCCCUGAGGGCAGAGAGGGCCACAGCCGCCACCGCCACUGGGAGAGGAAGCCUGAGGUGCGCAGGGCAGCUGCCGGGGGCCCCAAGACCACGCUGUCCUGCACCUCCCUGUUCUCUCUCCUUCCUCCUGUGCCAGAGGCUCAGGCCGCCUUCCCUGGUGGCCUUGGACAGCUCAGCUCUUGAGUUCUGGAAGGAACAGGCGACACAUCUGGGGAGCCUUGACGCCAGGGGUGGGGGGCAGGGGCGGGGCAGGCAGUGAUGCUGACCUUGGCACUGACCUCGAGUUAGAUCUUGGGAGCCUGCCUUCGCCCUGACUUUUCUAUUUGCAGAUCUGGGGGCAGCGAUGCUUCUCUCUCUCUGCAGAUGUUUUUAAAUCUUAUUUAUUCAUAUGACACAGAAAGAGCGAGUGAGAGAGCGAGAGGGCAUGAGCAGAGGGAGCGGAAGGAGGGGGAGAAGCAGACUCCCCGCUGUGCAGUGAGCCCCUCAUGGGCCUCGAUCCCAGAACCCUGAGAUCGUGGCCUGAGCCGAGGGCAGACGCUCACCCACUGAGCCCCCAGGCCCCCCCCCACUGCAGAUUUCCACGAGGUGCCGUGGGUGCGGAGACCCCGUUGGAGCAGCUCACACGCGGUGCCACGGUGUUCUUGAAUGCUGGUUAAGAAAAGCUCAAGGUUGAGCUGUCAUGUCCUCUGAAUCCGGUGGACUUCUGAAUGAACAACGAACACCAGUUUCAUCUCUGGGGACAGGCAGGAAUUUUAUCUGAUGGGCAUCAUGAAGACAAACUGUAAGACCUCCUCUCUGCAUCUCAGUUACCAGGCCUGAAAGGUGGAAGGAAGCCUUCCCUGGGCAUUCAACCGGACAUUUGCUGUGGUUUGCAAAAUUAAUCUAGUAAUAUUAUAGUUCUCUAUAUAUUAAAUAACCAAGUACUGGGCUGGAUCUGCUUGUGGAGAGAAGCUAGCACAAAAGUAACUGCUCACCUGAGUCAGUUGAUGAAACACCAGUCCCCACCACAGACUCAAGGGUGACUGAAUGACAAUGGCUUCCCGUUCUCUAGAGUUAAUCUGGGCGGGUGCCUUAGUUUCCCGCCCCACCUCGUGUGCACACAUCCUGAGUUUAAAAAAGAUCUCCCUAGGCAGAGACUAACUUUGCU
rnacentral:lncRNA from 12 species